rnacentral:rRNA from 1 species
AGUGAACGCUGGCGGUAUGCCUAACACAUGCAAGUCGAACGGCAGCACAGUAAGAGCUUGCUCUUACGGGUGGCGAGUGGCGGACGGGUGAGGAAUACAUCGGAAUCUACUUUUGCGUGGGGGAUAACGUAGGGAAACUUACGCUAAUACCGCAUACGACCUACGGGUGAAAGCAGGGGAUCUUCGGACCUUGCGCGAUUGAAUGAGCCGAUGUCGGAUUAGCUAGUUGGCGGGGUAAAGGCCCACCAAGGCGACGAUCCGUAGCUGGUCUGAGAGGGUGAUCAGCCACACUGGAACUGAGACACGGUCCAGACUCCUACGGGAGGCCGCAGUGGGGAAUCUUGGACAAUGGACGCAAGCCUGAUCCAGCAAUACCGCGUGGGUGAAGAAGGCCUUCGGGUUGUAAAACCCUUUUGUUGGGAAAGAAAAGCAGCAGGUUAAUACCCCGCUGUUCUGACGGUACCCAAAGAAUAAGCACCGGCUAACUUCGUG